rnacentral:rRNA from 1 species
AAUCCGGUUGAUCCUGCCGGACCUGACUGCUAUCGGAUUGAUACUAAGCCAUGCGAGUCGUUGUAGUAAUACAAGGCAGACGGCUCAGUAACGCGUAGUCAAUCUACCCUAUGGACGGAAAUAACCUCGGGAAACUGAGAAUAAUGUCCGAUAGAACAUUAUGCCUGGAAUGGUUUAUGUUUCAAAUGAUUUAUCGCCGUAGGAUGGGACUGCGUCCUAUCAGUUUGUUGGUGAGGUAAUGGCCCACCAAGACUAUUACAGGUACCGGGCUCUGAGAGGAGUAGCCCGGAGAUGGGUACUGAGACACGGACCCAGGCCCUAUGGGGCGCAGCAGGCGAGAAACUUUGCCAUGUGCGAAAGCACGACAAGGUUAAUCCGAGUGGUUUCUGCUAAAGAAACCUUUUGUCAGUCCUAGAAACACUGGCGAAUAAGGGGUGGGCAAGUUCUGGUGUCAGCCGCCGCGGUAAAACCAGCACCUCAAGUGGUCAGGAUGAUUAUUGGGCCUAAAGCAUCCGUAGCUUGCUUUGUAAGUUCUCGGUUAAAUCCAUGCGCUUAACGUAUGGGCUGCCGGCAAUACUGCAAAGCUAGGGAGUGGGAGAGGUAGACGGUACUCGGUAGGAAGGGGUAAAAUCCUUUGAUCUAUUGAUGACCACCUGUGGCGAAGGCGGUCUACCAGAACACGUCCGACGGUGAGGGAUGAAAGCUGGGGAAGCAAACCGGAUUAGAUACCCGGGUAGUCCCAGCUGUAAACUAUGCAAACUCAGUGAUGCAUUGGCUUGUGGCCAAUGCAGUGCUGCAGGGAAGCCGUUAAGUUUGCCGCCUGGGAAGUACGUACGCAAGUAUGAAACUUAAAGGAAUUGGCGGGGGAGCACCACAAGGGGUGAAGCUGCGGUUCAAUUGGAGUCAACGCCAGAAAUCUUACCCGGAGAGACAGCAGAAUGAAGGUCAAGCUGAAGACUUUACCAGACAAGCUGAGAGGUGGUGCAUGGCCGUCGCCAGCUCGUGCCGUGAGAUGUCCUGUUAAGUCAGGUAAC